CCUACGGGAGGCAGCAGUAGGGAAUUUUCGUCAAUGGGCGCAAGCCUGAACGAGCGAUGCCGCGUGAGUGAAGAAGGCCUUCGGGUCGUAAAGCUCUGUUGCGGGGGAAAAAAGGCAGCAUCAGGAAAUGGGUGCUGACUGAUGGUGCCCCGCCAGAAAGUCACGGCUAACUACGUGCCAGCAGCCGCGGUAAUACGUAGGUGGCGAGCGUUAUCCGGAAGGAUUGGGCGUAAAGGGUGCGCAGGCGGUCCUGCAAGUCUGGAGUGAAACGCAUGAGGUCACCUCAUGCAUGGCUUUGGAAACUGGAGGACUGGAGAGCAGGAGAGGGCGGUGGAACUCCAUGUGUAGCGGUAAAAUGCGUAGAUAGAUGGAAGAACACCAGUGGCGAAGGCGGCCGCCUGGCCUGUUGCUGACGCUGAGGCACGAAAGCGUGGGGAGCAAAUAGGAUUAGAUACCCCGGUAGUC
rnacentral:rRNA from 1 species